AUGUAAACAAGCCCUCAGAUGCCCAACACCCAAUGGGGUCUAACCCCAGGUAAAUCUGUUUUACCCUGUAUAAAGAUUAAACAGGGUAAACUCAAAUU